AGCUACGGAGGUUGGCGGGGAGGUUUGAAAUUGCAAACGCGCUGGGACGCUGCGCUGAUUAGGAGCCCUCGCGCGUGCACGGGGGGAAGGGCUACGAGUGACUGCCAAGAGGGGGUGGGUCCCCAUGUUACUAAAAGCAAACGUUAGCUGCAAGCAAGGAUGAAAUUGAAGAACAAUUUGAAGUGAAAUGUAAUCCUGCUGAGAAUGGUAAAACCACUAUAGAGAAUAUGAAGUAGGAAGUACCAUGCAGAAAAGCUACACAGACCAUUACUGUUGAAACAAAAUUGAUCUUACAUUACCACUGAGUUCAUUAAAUAAUGUUGAUUUCAGUAGAACAACGAUUGUACAUGUGACAUUGAUAACAGUACAUCAUGAAUUCAUUAUGAACAGGGCUACUCCAAUAAAUACCAGCUGAAUUCA